AUUGAACGCUGGCGGCAGGCCUAACACAUGCAAGUCGAGCGGAUGACGGGAGCUUGCUCCUUGAUUCAGCGGCGGACGGGUGAGUAAUGCCUAGGAAUCUGCCUGGUAGUGGGGGACAACGUUUCGAAAGGAACGCUAAUACCGCAUACGUCCUACGGGAGAAAGCAGGGGACCUUCGGGCCUUGCGCUAUCAGAUGAGCCUAGGUCGGAUUAGCUAGUUGGUGGGGUAAUGGCUCACCAAGGCGACGAUCCGUAACUGGUCUGAGAGGAUGAUCAGUCACACUGGACCUGCGACACGGGCCAGACUCCUACGGGAGGCAGCAGUGGGGAAUAUUGGACAAUGGCCGAAAGCCUGAUCCAGCCAUGCCGCGUGUGUGAAGAAGGUCUUCGGAUUGUAAAGCACUUUAAGUUGGGAGGAAGGGCAGUAAGUUAAUACCUUGCUGUUUUGACGUUACCGACAGAAUAAGCACCGGCUAACUCUGUGCCAGCAGCCGCCGUAACAC
rnacentral:rRNA from 1 species